rnacentral:rRNA from 1 species
AUUGAACGCUGGCGGCAGGCCUAACACAUGCAAGUCGAGCGAGCGGCGGACGGGUGAGUAAUGACUAGGAAUCUGCCUGGUAGUGGGGGAUAACGUCCGGAAACGGGCGCUAAUACAGCAUACCAUCAGAUGUGGCCAGAUGGGAUUAGCUAGUUGGUGGGGUAACGGCUCACCAAGGCGACGAUCCCUAGCUGGGCUGAGAGGAUGACCAGCCACACGUGCACUGAGACACGGUCCAGACUCCUCCUGGAGGCAGCAGUGGGGAAUAUUGCACAAUGGGCGCAAGCCUGAUGCAGCCAUGCCGCGUGUAUGAAGAAGUCCUUCGGUUUGUAAAGUACUUUCAGCGGGGAGGCGUUUCCCGCAGAAGAAGCACCGGCUAACUCCGUGCCAGCAGCCGCGGUAAUUC